rnacentral:rRNA from 1 species
AAUCUGGAGACAGGUGCUGCAUGGCUGUCGUCAGCUCGUGUCGUGAGAUGUUGGGUUAAGUCCCGCAACGAGCGCAACCCUUGCCUUUAGUUGCCAGCAGUUCGGCUGGGCACUCUAAAGGGACUGCCGGUGUUAAACCGGAGGAAGGUGGGGAGUGACGUCAAGUCCUCAUGGCCUUUAUGACCAGGGCUACACACGUACUACAAUGGCCGAUACAAAGGGCAGCGACACUGCGAGGUGAAGCCAAUCCCGUAAAAUACGGUCUCAGUCCGGAUUGGAGUCUGCAACUCGACUCCAUGAAGUUGGAAUCGCUAGUAAUCGUGGAUCAGCAUGCCACGGUGAAUACGUUCCCGGGCCUU